CAAAGGCAGCUGCCCAACCAACUGAGCCACCCAAGUGCUCUGCCUCACCUCUUCAAACCUCAAUUAUUUUCCUAUCUAUAAAUGGGGAUAAUAACAGUUUCUAUGACAUAGAUUGUUUUGAAGAAUAGUUAGAAUAAUCUGUAUAAAGGGCUUACUGCUUGGUAAACAGUGUGUUAGCUGUUUUUAUCAUUAUUACCAAGAGCCCUGUACCUGAAACAGGCGAGAGCAGAGUUAAUCUGGUUGAAACAUGAAUGAGAAGACCAGAACCACAUUCUCUUGGCUUCUUCACCAGGUCACUGUCACUGAGGUCCCUGUAAGCUAUAUGUGUGGAACAUCUAGCGAUUUGUAAAGCUCUGUUUGAAAACCCCUAAUCUGGUCUAGUGUUCUUAUUUUAUGGAUGAGGUAAUACCGAGUCCGCAUUCCCAGAUUUCUUAUAUGAUGUGGUUUCCUGAACAACUCCUUUAUCAACCAUGUCGGUCUCCUCUGGACACACUGUAGUUGUAUUCCUGCCCAGGGGCUGAGAGAGCUUCAUCUGGAGCUGAAAAUGGCCCUAAAAGAAUAGCAUGGCUGAAUUUGAUCACUUAAAAUUGGGCCAGACCCUGGAGGAACCCAGGACAUAGCUGAACAGUAUGAACUUUAUACAUUAGGGAACUUGUGAUAAUAAAGGAUCUGAGAGCGCUGCCCUUAUUCACUUGUUAA